GGCUCAGAGCGAACGUUAGCGGCGGGCCUAACACAUGCAAGUCGAACGCGAAAGGUCUUCGGACUGAGUAGAGUGGCGCACGGGUGAGUAACACGUAGGUAAUCUACCCUUUGGCGGGGGAUAACGUUCCGAAAGGAGCGCUAAUACCGCAUAAGACCACGUGGUCUCCGGACCGAGUGGGAAAAGGUGGCCUCUUCUUGAAAGCUACCACCGAAGGAUGAGCCUGCGUCCCAUCAGCUAGUUGGUAAGGUAAUGGCUUACCAAGGCGAAGACGGGUAGCUGGUUUGAGAGAAUGAUCAGCCACACUGGCACUGGAACACGGGCCAGACUCCUACGGGAGGCAGCAGUGAGGAAUAUUGGGCAAUGGGCGAAAGCCUGACCCAGCCACGCCGCGUGAGUGAUGAAGGCCCUCGGGUCGUAAAGCUCUGUGGAGAGGGACGAAAACCCUGGUUUCAAAUAGGCUCCAGGCUUGACGGUACCUCUUUAGCAAGCACCGGCUAACUCUGUG
rnacentral:rRNA from 1 species